rnacentral:rRNA from 1 species
AUGGAGGUGGAGGCGUUCCCGAUCGGGUUCACCAAGGGCGUGCGCGCGCACUGGCGCCGGCGCAAGUACCAGCGCCUGGAGGCCGGCGAGGGCGGCGGCAGCAGGUCCCAGGGCACGCAGCGCCUCGGCGGCUCCGGCGCGCGGCGCGUCGGGUGGCGCGUGCGGCUGCGCGGGCUUCUCAUCCGGCGCGCGCGCGCCGUCCGCGCGAUCGUAACGGCGCCGAGGAGGCUGCUGGCGCGGGCGCGGGACGCGUACGUGGGCGGCAUGCUGGCCGUGGCCCGGAAGGCGUCGGCCACGGCGCUGCCCGGCGGCGGGCCCGAGGGGAUCUGGGCCAGGCGCGUGCCGCGGCGGAAGCAGCUGCCCUCGGCGACGGCGGCGCGGACGUCCGAGUUCGAGCAGCGGCUGGUGAUGGAGAUCUACAAGUCCAUCGUCGCGUCCAAGGAGCUCACCACCAUGCUCCACUCCUCCACCGCGCACCUGCAGGCGCCGCCCGCGCGCGCCUAG